rnacentral:rRNA from 1 species
ACGGUAACAGGAAGCAGCUUGCUGCUUUGCUGACGAGUGGCGGACGGGUGAGUAAUGUCUGGGAAACUGCCUGAUGGAGGGGGAUAACUACUGGAAACGGUGGCUAAUACCGCAUAACGUCGCAAGACCAAAGAGGGGGACCUUCGGGCCUCUUGCCAUCAGAUGUGCCCAGAUGGGAUUAGCUAGUUGGUGAGGUAACGGCUCACCAAGGCGACGAUCCCUAGCUGGUCUGAGAGGAUGACCAGCCACACUGGAACUGAGACACGGUCCAGACUCCUACGGGAGGCAGCAGUGGGGAAUAUUGCACAAUGGGCGCAAGCCUGAUGCAGCCAUGCCGCGUGUAUGAAGAAGGCCUUCGGGUUGUAAAGUACUUUCAGCGGGGAGGAAGGUGUUGUGGUUAAUAACCGCAGCAAUUGACGUUACCCGCAGAAGAAGCACCGGCUAACUCCGUGCCAGCAGCCGCGGUAAUACGGAGGGUGCAAGCGUUAAUCGGAAUUACUGGGCGUAAAGCGCACGCAGGCGGUCUGUCAAGUCGGAUGUGAAAUCCCCGGGCUCAACCUGGGAACUGCAUUCGAAACUGGCAGGCUUGAGUCUUGUAGAGGGGGGUAGAAUUCCAGGUGUAGCGGUGAAAUGCGUAGAGAUCUGGAGGAAUACCGGUGGCGAAGGCGGCCCCCUGGACAAAGACUGACGCUCAGGUGCGAAAGCGUGGGGAGCAAACAGGAUUAGAUACCCUGGUAGUCCACGCCGUAAACGAUGUCUACUUGGAGGUUGUGCCCUUGAGGCGUGGCUUCCGGAGCUAACGCGUUAAGUAGACCGCCUGGGGAGUACGGCCGCAAGGUUAAAACUCAAAUGAAUUGACGGGGGCCCGCACAAGCGGUGGAGCAUGUGGUUUAAUUCGAUGCAACGCGAAGAACCUUACCUGGUCUUGACAUCCACAGAAGAAUCCAGAGAUGGAUUUGUGCCUUCGGGAACUGUGAGACAGGUGCUGCAUGGCUGUCGUCAGCUCGUGUUGUGAAAUGUUGGGUUAAGUCCCGCAACGAGCGCAACCCUUAUCCUUUGUUGCCAGCGGUCCGGCCGGGAACUCAAAGGAGACUGCCAGUGAUAAACUGGAGGAAGGUGGGGAUGACGUCAAGUCAUCAUGGCCCUUACGACCAGGGCUACACACGUGCUACAAUGGCGCAUACAAAGAGAAGCGACCUCGCGAGAGCAAGCGGACCUCAUAAAGUGCGUCGUAGUCCGGAUUGGAGUCUGCAACUCGACUCCAUGAAGUCGGAAUCGCUAGUAAUCGUGGAUCAGAAUGCCACGGUGAAUACGUUCCCGGGCCUUGUACACACCGCCCGUCACACCAUGGGAGUGGGUUGCAAAAGAAGUAGGUAGCUUAACCUUCGGGAGGGCGCUUACCACUUUGUGAUUCAUGACUGGGGUGAAGUCGUAACAAGGUAACCGUAGGGGAACCUGCGGUUGGAUCACCUCCUUACCUUAAAGAA